UACGUAGGGGGCAAGCGUUGUCCGGAAUCAUUGGGCGUAAAGAGCGUGUAGGCGGCUCGGUAAGUCCGCUGUGAAAGUCCAGGGCUCAACCCUGGAAUGCCGGUGGAUACUGUGGAGCUAGAGUACGGAAGAGGCGAGUGGAAUUCCUGGUGUAGCGGUGGAAUGCGCAGAUAUCAGGAGGAACACCAAUAGCGAAGGCAGCUCGCUGGGACGUUACUGACACUGAGGCGCGAAAGCGUGGGGAGCGAACAGG
rnacentral:rRNA from 1 species